rnacentral:ncRNA from 1 species
UUAAAAACGUUGAGCAGAAGAGUAGUUUGAUUAAUUUUUCAGAGAGUUUGCGGUUAGUGUGAGCAAAUAAGUUAUUCAGAUGAACCACAUCUGUGAGUAUGUAGUUGAAUUGGAGUAGGCUGCAUCGGAAGUGCCCGUUAUCGCAUACAGUCUUUGGACUUAUUGAGGUAUUAUCAGUGAUGGUUAAUACAUUUAAGAGGUGGCACCGCGGUAACGCCCUCUGA